AUGCUCCUCUCCUCCAUGACGGAGGACAUCGCGUCUGAGCUGAUCAACUGCAAGUCCGCUGCUGCCGCGUGGACCUCCAUCCACGCCAUGUUCAGCAUGCAGAACCGUGUCGGGGUUCGGCACAUCCGGCGACAGAUUCAGUCGCUGAAGAAGAACGACAUGACUGCCAGCGAGUACAUGCACAAGGUGAAGGCUCUUGUCGACGCCAUGGCCUCCGCUGGAUCUCCCCUCGCUGAUGACGAGAUCAUCGACUACAUGCUCACCGGAUUGGGCAAGGCCUUCAACCCGAUCGCGGCUUCGCUCAGCGUCGUGGUCACCCCGGUCGCGCUGGCUGAGUUAGACUCCAUGGUUCUCAACUAUGAAGCGAUGGCAGCUGUCGCGGCAGGCCGACGAUGA
rnacentral:rRNA from 1 species